GGCGGCGUAGCCAAGUAGUAAGGCAGCGGUCUGCAAAAUCGCAAUGCUCGGGUGCAAAUCCCGACGCCGCCU
rnacentral:tRNA from 1 species